rnacentral:rRNA from 1 species
AUUGAACGCUGGCGGCGUGCUUAACACAUGCAAGUCGAUCGGUAACAGGUGUAGCAAUACAUGCUGACGAGAGGCGGACGGGUGAGUAAUGCUUGGGAAUCUGCCUAUUAGUGGGGGACAACCCGGGGAAACUCGGGCUAAUACCGCAUACGCUCUACGGAGGAAAGCCGGGGACCGCAAGGCCUGGCGCUAAUAGAUGAGCCCAAGUCGGAUUAGCUAGUUGGUAGGGUAACGGCCUACCAAGGCGACAAUCCGUGGCUGGUCUGAGAGGACGACCAGCCACACCGGAACUGAGACACGGUCCGGACUCCUACGGGAGGCAGCAGUGGGGAAUAUUGGACAAUGGGGGCAACCCUGAUCCAGCGACGCCGCGUGGGUGAAGAAGGCCUGCGGGUUGUAAAGCCCUUUCGGUGGGGAAGAAAAGUCUCGACCUAAUACGUCGGGACCUUGACGUA